AAUCACUGUAACAUGGUUUAUACAGACUUCACAUUUUUUUUAUAUAGAAAUUAAAAUGUUUCAGAUUGAUUUGUAAUUUGAGUUUUUCAGUUGUGAUUCUUUGUGAAUCCUUAAAGUUGCGCUUUUUUGAAUGAUAACUCCACUGGAUAAUGAAGACAGUCAGCUGCAGUUUGUAAACCUUCAAUUCAAAUUUUAAUGCUGUACAACUUUGACUUGGAGACAGAGUUGCUAAGAACAGCAAUGGCAUCAGUGACUGUUUGCAGCACCACCAAAGGCUUGUUCCUCAUCUUCACCCUGCUGUCUCUGGUUUGCCUUUCAAGUUCACUGAUAGACAAGGACCAGCUGAAACAACUCAAAGAAAACUAUCAGAACAUAAAACAACAAAUGGACAGAGUGAAGGUCAGUACAUGUUCAGAGAACCGCUAUGAGAAACUUGUGGAUAUAUGUGACCAGUCUACCUUACAACAUAGUAAACUGCAUUCCUGUAAUAUGAAACUGUUACAUUUUAUCCCAUCAGGCUAAGCGUGUGGAAAGAGUGAACUUCGGUUCUGAACUGUUGAGUGAAUACUUGAGCCUUAUGGACCCGUUGAUCGCACUGAUGAAGAAAUCUGCAAAAGUUUUACCUGAUGGUUUUCCUCGAGUUGAUACAUUUAUGGAGUACAUUAAGAAUUUCGUCAAGGAAAGUAAGGCUAACAUUGACAGGGAGAAUGAGAAUUUGGGUGAGAAAAUAGAGGAAAGUGAAAAGAAACUGGGACAACUGAAAAGAAUUAUUGAAGUGCUCGAGGAAAAGCAAGCUGAAUUGUAAAUCCCAUGUCAGUCAUUUCAUUUUUCUCUAAUAAUGCAUCUUUUGUAUCUGUGGUUAGUUUCUAUUUCAUAUAGUACAGCUACAGUACAACUUUUUUUUAGAGCUGUCAUUGUUCUUUACUGUCUGAUAUAAAACAAAAAAAAACAUUUCACUAUCAGCUACCAUUGUGCGCAGACUCAUAUGUGCUGAUGGCAACUUUUAAGAAUACAUUUCCAGUUGGUACUUGUUUUUCUGCCAUUACUUAAAUAUAAAAGUGGAAACAAUGUUUAUGUAAACUGCAAACUGCCACACAAUAAAGACAUUUACCUACUACUGUUAUUGUUUCUAUUCUUCAGCAAUAAGAUGACAGAUUAAUAACCUGCUCACAUUCUUGUGAAAUGCAAGUAUGCCCUCACCAGAAAGUUUAUGCUGAUUUUUAUCAUAUAAAUGAUGACGGUAUUUAUAUUUUAAUAAGAACAAUUAUUAUUAUUAUUAUUCUUGUUGUGAAUGUUUUCAUCAUUUAUUUAUUCAUUUAUUUUUCAUGGUAAUUUGCAGCAUUCAUAUUUUUGCAUUGAAUUGGGCUAACCACAUCUGCGUGUCAAUAGCACAGACAUCUUUAAUAUGAAAGCCAUAAUACUGGUGUUAUUUGUCCAUGAUGUACAUUCAUAAACAUCAUGUUCCAUCUAUAUUUAUACCUUUACUGGUUCUUUACUGGUGAUUUAAAGUUUAACUUGACAUCAUGAUACUUUAAUGUUGUCCGAGCUGUGGUUAAUAAUUAUUAAGCUAGUAUAGUGCUGAUAACUACAACUACUAAAAAUAAAUAAUGCUUUAGUUUAGUAAAGGUUACAUUGUUCCUCACACCCAGAGGCACUCACAGCACUAAUGUCAAAUUUUUA